AUGCUCCCUCUACCAACAAAACAUAUUUCGAAGUGUGGAAAAAAUUUGACAAAAAAUUCUACAUGUACAUCUCCAUAAUAUAUGUGUAUGCGUCAAGUUUCACUUUUGGUUUCUGUUAGUGUAUAUUCGGGGGUUCUUUUUUUGUAUGGUUAGCAGAACAUGAUAUUUUCAGCAAGUAGGAUGGUACCAGGAUGUAGUUGAAAGUGUUAAAAAUUGUUGUUCACACUAGCAUGUAGGAAUUCAUACCAACCUUUAGGCAGCUAUUUACCCAAUGAACCUCUUAUUGUUAUUUCUUUAGGCUAGAAUAGCUUAAAUAUUAUGUCUUCCAUUUAUCAGCAGUUUAUACACACUUCAUUUAUUCGUGCAUUCAUUUAUUUUUGCAAGCUCUGCAGUCGGUUGUAUUUUUUUUCUUAUUGCUCACUUGUGAAACAAAAUAACAAAUGCAUUGAAAAGUCAUUCUGAGAUAUACAAAAUAAGAGAUGCUCGCUGUUAGUACAUAUGUGAAUAAUUCCUUUGGUUUCUGUAUAUGGUAUCUUCCUAGCUAUCACAUAUGAAUUGGUAUAUUGCAUACUAAUGAGAGGUUUGAUAAUUUUAAUGAUGUGUUACUCAUAUUUCUCUAUCGGGAGCCCAAGUCAUUUCUCUAUAUUACCCUUUGUUUAUUAGUUAGUGGUAUAGUCUGUCGGCUACCAGGUUAAAGGACAUUGCUUAACAACUUUUGGCUUCUAAAAUUUAUUCAGUUAAGAUGCAGAUCUGUUUCGAAUAAGAAGAGAAAUCCUAAGUAACACUUCGUACAAUAUGCAAUAUUUUUUUUUAGCACGACAUAAGGAUAGCUACUUAUUUUUAUACCAAAAUCUUUUCUUCAGUUGGCUUCUCUACUUGUUCACUACGGUUUUAAUUGUUAUUCCAGCGUGAAACAAUUUGUUAGGUCAAUUGUAAUUUGCACAAUGAGGUUCUCACCUAUCAACUGAAAAUAUCGUUUGUAACAAAUAUCUUGAGAUCUUGGUGAGCAUGGAUUUUGUACAAUCCGCUCUUUCAUCUUCUUUUCUUAGGUGUGUGCUCAAUCUGUAUGAAUUUUGCAUUAAUGGCAAAAGUCUAUGCUUUUGCUCUUUGUUAUUAGUGGUGCACUUUGAUAUAUAGUACAAGUCUGUGUGGUACGCUUUUUUGACCUAUGUUGAUUCAAAUCUUGUGUUAAUCAUUCGUAGGUGUAAGCAGCCGAAAUCUCGGGCAGACGAAUCAGGCAAAAAGAAGACUCGCAUUAGAAGCAGGAAGCUUUCUGGGAUCAAAUAAAUUAUGGGUUCCCUUGAUAUUAAACUAAAGUCUAUAUGUGAGUGAUUUUCAUCUAGAACCCAUGUUUUCACUCGAUUUUGCAGUAUGCAAGUCACUGUUAUGUGUAUUGCCUUGUUUAGCAUGGAAGUCACAUAAUUAAAAAUAGCUCUUCUGAUGUAGAAAAUAAAAUGAAUCCACAGACUGAACUCAUUAAGGUAUUACAUGGGAUAAAUGUUUUCCGAAAUUCUCUUUCGGUUCUGUUUGCCCAAGUUGACAAGUAGCAAUCUUGAUGAAACACUGCAUUUUUAUUUCAUAAAAGUCGAUGGUAUGGUUUUGCACUUGCUAAAUAAAUCUGUGUCGCUAUCUAUUACCUUGGUACACAUACCGCAUUUUUAUUUCAUAAAAGUCGAUGGUAUGGUUUUGCACUUGCUAAAUAAAUCUGCGUCGCUAUCUAUUACCUUGGUACACAUAUCGGCAUGUUUUCAGGUGCAUGUAUCAGUCUUGGUCUAUGAGGAGAUGCGUGCUAUGUAUGAUGAUGUGCUGGUGGCGACCUCGAUCUUGAGCCACCACACCUGGCUUCUACCACCAUGCAGUUAUCUUACUGCAUUUAACUAUAUGCAUUUUUCGUGGCGUUGUUUUUUCUUUUCCUGAACCUUUAGAUAUACCGAGGCAAGGCAGUAGAGAGAGUAUACUUUCGUGGGGAGCUGCCACCCCUUGUUGGCAGUGUAAACUUAGCCUUCUUUGGCUCUUUUCUAUGUGAUUGUACACAUUUUCA